UACGUAGGCAGCGAGCGUUGUUCGGAGUUACUGGGCGUAAAGGGUGCGUAGGCGGUUGUUUAAGUUUGGUGUGAAAUCUCCCGGCUCAACUGGGAGGGUGCGCCGAAUACUGAAUGACUAGAGUGCGGGAGAGGAUAGUGGAAUUCCUGGUGUAGCGGUGAAAUGCGUAGAUAUCAGGAGGAACACCAGUGGCGAAGGCGAGUCCCUGGACAACUUCUGACGCUGAGGCACGAAAGCUAGGGGAGCAAACAGG
rnacentral:rRNA from 1 species